GGCCGCAUCCCCUUCCUGGCGUCGGCCGGCGUAGCUCUCUCUUCCACUUCUGCGCCCACCUCCUCCCAGCCAGGCGCUCCAAUCAUGGCGCGGAGGCCGGAUCGAGCCCAUAUGGCGUGGCGGCGACCGAAUUCACAACGGUGAUGACACCUAGCGGUCCCCGCUGGCCCAACCAAGUUCGUUUUCCUCUCCCCAUCCUCUCCCGCGAGCACCCUCGAUUUCGUCUCGCCGGUCCAGGCCACUCGCAGCAGCCGGCCACCUGUAGCAACUAGCAACUCCAUGGCUGUCGCCGCCUUCUAGGUUGUGGCGGAGCCCCGCUCCAGCACACAACGCAUGCCGAUUCACUUACGUUCCUUUACGGAACCAUCGCCAGCCUGCCGGAAGGGAGCCGGUGCCAAGGGCUGCAGAGUGGGCACCGUACUGGCCCUUGCCAUCCCCUCCCACUGACAAGCCUUUCCAUGUUUUAUCCCCAUUACCAUUGAAGAGGACAGAUCAUAGGAUACCGCUGCUGGGAGCCUGGGACAUGUACUAUCAUGACAAUGUCAGGCGAACCUUCAUCUCUGGGCGUGAGAUGCAUCUGCAUUUCCCAAAAAUUGAUACCGUGGACAAGAUCAGGUGGAUUAUUGUAACUGCUCUUAUAUCUUGGUUGAUAUUUUCCAUUUUUAAAUUAGCGACGACGAGCAAGAAGGUGAUUUUGAUGUGAAAACAAAUAGAAGGAAACACUCCUAUAUGUAGCAACCAUAAUUUAUUAUUUAUAGUUAGGCACAACUGAAGUCUUGAGUGUUCAACCCAUGGAUAAGCUUUUUUCAGCUCUCAUCUCUAUAUGGAUAUGCUUUUUUCAGGUUAGUGAUUCAGGAGUUCCUGCCAAGACUGGCUUUUGGAAGUUAUGCUUGCUUCACCAGUUGGGUUUAACAAGGACAUAAUCAAUUCUCUGUUGGUAAUUAGAAGAAAAAAUCUGGUUCAAGAAAACUUCUCUUUUGCUUAUUUGUUUGUUUCUGAAUUUUACUAAUAUUUUUUCAUUUUCUUUUUUUCAGGUUAGUAGUACGAGAGUUCCUGUCAAGAAUGACUUUUGGAAGUAUUAGAAAAUUUAUUUUGGUACUUGCGAUUAGUAUUACACAGAUGGGUGAUGCACACAUACUUCACCCGGUGUAUCUGUUCAUGUAUGUUGUUAUUAGCUAAGUAGACAAAAUUCCUCU
rnacentral:lncRNA from 1 species